rnacentral:lncRNA from 1 species
AUGGAGUCUCGCUCUUGUUGCCCAGGCUGGAGUGCAGUGGUGCCAUCUCGGCUCAUGCAGCCGCCCCAUCCCGGGUUCAAGAGACCCUGGUGCCUUGGCCUCCGCAGUAGCUGCGAUUGCAGGCGCCCGCCACCGCGCCCGCGAACCUUUGUGUCUUUAGUAGAGACGGGUUCACCGUGUGGGCCAGGCUGGUCUCAGCCCGUGAUGUCAGGUGAUCCACCCGCCUCCGCCUCCCCAAGGGCUGGAUUCAGGCGUGAGCCGCCGCCCGGCCUGCUCGGGAUCUUAGUCCCUCAGCGGAGCCGCUGCCCCAGGGCCUGUCCUGACGGGACAUCCUGCCGCUCUGCGACGUCCACCUUGUCCCGACGGGACAUCCCGCCGCUCUGCCACCUCCGCCUUGUCCCGACGGGACAUCCCGCCGCUCUGCCACCUCCGCCUUGUCCCGACGGGACAUCCCGCCACUCUGCGACGUCCACCUUGUCCCGACGGGACAUCCCGCCGCUCUGCCACCUCCGCCUUGUCCCGACGGGACAUCCCGCCACUCUGCGACGUCCACCUUGUCCCGACGGGACAUCCCGCCGCUCUGCCACCUCCGCCUUGUCCCGACGGGACAUCCCGCCGCUCUGCCACCUCCGCCUUGUCCCGACGGGACAUCCCGCCGCUCUGCGACGUCCACCUUGUCCCGACGGGACAUCCCGCCGCUCUGCCACCUCCGCCUUGUCCCGACGGGACAUCCCGCCUCUCUGCCACCUCCGCCUUGUCCCGACGGGACAUCCCGCCGCUCUGCCACCUCCGCCUUGUCCCGACGGGACAUCCCGCCGCUCUGCCACCUCCGCCUUGUCCCGACGGGACAUCCCGCCUCUCUGCCACCUCCGCCUUGUCCCGACGGGACAUCCCGCCGCUCUGCCACCUCCGCCUUGUCCCGACGGGACAUCCCGCCGCUCUGCCACCUCCGCCUUGUCCCGACGGGACAUCCCGCCGCUCUGCGACGUCCGCCUUGUCCCGACGGGACAUCCCGCCGCUCUGCCACCUCCGCCUUGUCCCGACGGGACAUCCCGCCUCUCUGCCACCUCCGCCUUGUCCCGACGGGACAUCCUGCCGCUCUGCCACCUCCGCCUUGUCCCGACGGGACAUCCCGCCGCUCUGCCACCUCCGCCUUGUCCCGACGGGACAUCCCGCCGCUCUGCGACCGUCCGCCUUGUCCCGACGGGACAUCCCGCCGCUCUGCCACCUCCGCCUUGUCCCGACGGGACAUCCCGCCUCUCUGCGACGUCCGCCUUGUCCCGACGGGACAUCCCGCCGCUCUGCCACCUCCGCCUUGUCCCGACGGGACAUCCCGCCGCUCUGCCACCUCCGCCUUGUCCCGACGGGACAUCCCGCCGCUCUGCGACGUCCGCCUUCCAAUCCCUCCUCUCACCGCGGACCUGCAAAGGCACGUGA